rnacentral:rRNA from 1 species
CGAGGGGAGCUAGCGUUGUUCGGAAUUACUGGGCGUAAAGGGCGUGUAGGCGGUACCAUAAGUCAGAUGUGAAAGCCCUAGGCUUAACCUAGGAGGUGCAUUUGAUACUGUGGAACUAGAGAUCGAGAGAGGUAAGUGGAAUUACGAGUGUAGAGGUGAAAUUCGUAGAUAUUCGUAAGAACACCAGUGGCGAAGGCGACUUACUGGCUCGAUACUGACGCUAAGGCGCGAAAGCGCGGGGAGCAAACAGGAUUAGAUACCCUGGUAGUCCACGCUGUAAACGAUGAGUGCUAGAUGUUGGUGAAGGAAUUCAUCAGUGUCGCAGCUAACGCAUUAAGCACUCCGCCUGGGGAGUACGGUCGCAAGAUUA